AGAGUUUGAUCCUGGCUCAGAGCGAACGCUGGCGGCGUGCCUAACACAUGCAAGUCGAACGCUGAACUCCUGGAUCUUCGGAUUUGGGAGCUAGGCGUGGCGCACGGGUGAGUAACGCGUGGAUAACCUGCCCACUAGUGGGGAAUAACCCCGGGAAACUGGGGCUAAUACCGCAUAAUCCUUUCCUGACACCGGUCAGGAAAGGCAAAGCCCGCAAGGGCGCUGGUGGAGGGAUCCGCGUCUGAUCAGCUAGUUGGUGAGGUAACGGCUCACCAAGGCAGAGACCGGUAGCCGGUCUGAGAGGACGAUCGGCCACACUGGAACUGAGACACGGUCCAGACUCCUACGGGAGGCAGCAGUGAGGAAUAUUGCGCAAUGGGGGAAACCCUGACGCAGCGACGCCGCGUGGAGGACGACGCCCUUCGGGGUGUAAACUCCUUUCGACGGGGACGAAUGCCCGCAAGGGUUUGACGGUACCCGUAUAAGAAGCCCCGGCUAACUACGUGCCAGCAGCCGCGGUAAUACGUAGGGGGCAAGCGUUGCUCGGAAUUACUGGGCGUAAAGGGUCCGUAGGCGGUGGGGCAUGUCGGUUGUGAAAUCUCCCGGCUUAACUGGGAGGGUGCAAUCGAAACUGUUCUGCUAGAGGGCC
rnacentral:rRNA from 1 species